GGUAAAAGUGACAAUAGACCUGGGGUGAGGGGACAGGAGACUUAAGAAAGCAACCAAGUUAAAACCGUCUUGUCACCACGGAGAGGCCAAGACACAAGAGUGAAACACAGAGGCAGCUGGCAGAAAACGAGCCCGGUGCUUCCUGGUUCCAAGGACUAUGCAGGGAUGCCGACAAGGCAGACAGAAGCACCGAGAAAGCAUGUCCGCCUCCCAGAAAGUCCGCAGCCAAGGCUCUCUGGAGAGAGUUCCUUUAGGUGUUCUGUUAGAGUAGAAGAACACAGAGAUUGGCUGGAUGCCUCCCCGGCCCCUACAGACAAGACGUCUGUGUCCAGAACGGUGUGUCAGCAGCUUCCCUA